GACAGAGGGUGCAAACGUUGUUCGGAAUUACUGGGCGUAAAGCGCACGUAGGCGGAUACUUAAGUCAGGGGUGAAAUCCCGGGGCUCAACCCCGGAACUGCCUUUGAUACUGGGUAUCUCGAGUCCGGAAGAGGUGAGUGGACUUCCGAGUGUAGAGGUGAAAUUCGUAGAUAUUCGGAGGAACACCAGUGGCGAAGGCGGCGCACUGGUCCGGUACUGACGCUGAGGUGCGAAAGCGGGGGGAGCAAACAGG
rnacentral:rRNA from 1 species